rnacentral:rRNA from 1 species
CAGCAGCCGCGGUAAUACGUAGGGCGCAAGCGUUGUCCGGAAUUAUUGGGCGUAAAGAGCUCGUAGGCGGUCUGUCGCGUCUGGUGUGAAAUCCCGAGGCUCAACCUCGGGCUUGCAUCGGGUACGGGCAGACUAGAGUGCGGUAGGGGAGACUGGAAUUCCUGGUGUAGCGGUGGAAUGCGCAGAUAUCAGGAGGAACACCGAUGGCGAAGGCAGGUCUCUGGGCCGCAACUGACGCUGAGGAGCGAAAGCAUGGGGAGCGAACAGGAUUAGAUACCCCAGUAGUCCCUGUCUCUUAUAC